UACGGGGGGAGCAAGCGUUGUUCGGAUUUACUGGGCGUAAAGGGCGCGUAGGCGGCGCAACAAGUCACUUGUGAAAUCUCCGGGCUUAACCCGGAGCGGCCAAGUGAUACUGUCGUGCUAGAGUGCAGAAGGGGCAACUGGAAUUCUCGGUGUAGCGGUGAAAUGCGCAGAUAUCAGGAAGAACACCCGUGGCUAAGGCGGCUCUCUAGUACGGUACUGACGCUGAGACGCGAAAGCGUGGGGAGCGAACAGG
rnacentral:rRNA from 1 species